AAUGAGCGCUGGCGGCAUGCCUAACACAUGCAAGUCGAACGAAGGCUUCGGCCUUUGUGGCGCCUGGGUGUGUCACGCGUCGGAAUAUGCACCUUGGUUUGGCCUACCUGUUAGACAUGACUGCUAUUACCGGAUGAUGACUAAUGCCGAAUGAUGUAUCGCCGCGGGAUGAGCACGCGUAGAAUUAGCUUGUUGGUUUGGUAAGAGCGCACCAAGGCGACGAUCAUUAGCUGGUCUGAGAGAAGGAUCAGCCACACUGGGACGGGGACACGGCGCAGACUCCUACGGGAGGCAGCAGUGGGGAAUAUUGGACAAUGGGCGAAAGCCUGAGCCAGCAAUGCCGCGUGAGUGAUGAAGGCCGUAGGGUUGUAAAGCUCUUUUACCCGGGAUGAUAAUGACAGUACCGGGAGAAUAAGCUCCGGCUAACUCCGUG
rnacentral:rRNA from 1 species